GGAAGAAGUUGUACCUCAGAAGCUAACAAAAUCUGCCAAGCAAAUGGAAACAAAAACAAGCAAGAAGGUUGUGCAUGUUAAGGAGAGGUCAAUUUGUUUCAUGGCAAGGGAUGGUCCCAGAGCUCUUGGCUCAAAACCACUCCUUGAGGGCAAAGAAAACUGCUUAGAGGAACUGACAUUUGUUAUCACUGAAGUGCUGGAAAGUAUUGAGAGAAAUGACGCUGCGGCUUUGAUUCAGAGGUACGGUGGCAAGGUAACUCAGGCGGUGAGCAAGAAAACAAGUUACAUUUAUAUUGUGGUGGGACAGGACCCAGGGUGCUAUGAUGAGCAUUGAAUUCAAGGAAGGGCUCAAGAUUCCACCUCAGGCCAUGGACCAGAUUAUAAUUGGUGCAAACCAAGAUGUUCUUUAUAGUUUGACCAUGUGGACAGCCAAGGAGAAGAGUCUUAGUUAUGAUCAAUCCAAUGAGGAUGCAGCCAGGGCACAAAAAGACAUCAAAAUGGUUCCUUUUGAUGCGAGAGUUCAAAGAUGGACUUGAAUUAAAAAUCAAGGAUGGUCUUUUGCGACUACUCAUUGAUGCCUCUGUACAAGAAAACUGCCUUUCGGCGGAUCCAGGGCAUUCCCAGUAAGAUGACAACUAAGCUGUUCUAAUUGUUUUUGUGCUAUUAUUAAUAAUUGUUCAUUCUUUCCGAACUGUCAUCAGCUAUCACAAACUAUCACUCUUGUGGUCAAACAGGAAAACUAUUAUCGCCUACAUGUGUCAUGGAUAAUUUAAACAAGCUUAAAGUGAAUGAUGGUUGAUGAUAGCCAAUGAUAGCCCAUGAUAGUCUGUGUUUAAAGUGUGCAUAGCGACUAUCGAGGACUAUCAUGCACUGUUUGACAAGAGCCUUUAGCAGGCCUGGUUAAUAAGAGAUUUAUAGCUGUACUUGUACAUAUACAUGUAUGAUUUUUAAGGAUUGGUUGAAAAAUAGUACAUUUUAGAGGACCUUUUCAAUUCCUUAUGCAUCUUGUUUACUAAUUAGGGACAAGGUAAAGAGGACCCUGGCACUUGUUAGUCAGACAGCUGACUAAAUCUGUGAUGGUGAUCUUAUCAGACAGAAAGGGCACUGGUCCGUGUUACCUAUACAGGCACUAAAAUAAUAGAGAGAUGAAGGUCAAUUCAUUGUCAAAUUCAUUGUUAAUUCAAUCUUUAUCCAGUAUUUAUCAAAUGUUCAAUUUUUAGGCAAUGAUGUUAUAUGUGAUCCCAUUCGAUCUGAUGACUGGGGAAAUGGGUCAGAGGAUUGAAUUUCCUCAGUGGCUUGGUAAAAAUUCCGAAUAUUGUAGACUUGACCGCAGUUUACAAGAGCUUUAGAGUCACAUGAGAUUAAGGAAUCACACGAGAUCAGUUCUGGGAUGUUCAGAGCUAUGAAAUUGAUUGAGGAGUAUGACUUGACAAAAAGAGGACUGGGAUUCUAUCAUAGAGCUUGGCCAGUUUGAAGGACAGAGGGAUCCUGUCAUUUCUAUCCCAUUGAAGGUUUGUACAUGUAGUCCCUUGAUUCUUGUUCUGGAAUGACAUGUUUGUUGAUAGUAAAUUUGAGCUCGUCAAAAGACAGCUGCAGGCUAAUGCUCAGCCUUUUAAACUCUGGGUGAACAGUCCGGGUUAAGGCCUUAGGCAGGGUCAUUGUGUUGUGUUCUUGGGCAAGCCAGUUGUUCUCACGGUGCCUCUUGCCAAUAACAAAUGACCCUCACUCGCUCAUCUUCUUUGUCCCAGCUUGGAGGUACAUGUAAGGGCAUAAAAAGCCAACAAAUUAAUACGGGUGAUAACCACCCUAACUGCCUACAAAUCAGUAAGAGAAAUUUUUGACACCAAAACAUAAAUAAUGGGUAAUCUACAGGUGUUUCCGCCAA